rnacentral:tRNA from 1 species
CUAAUUCCAAGACCAGCAAUCGGAAAACUGCGGUUGUAGUUCAACUAUAAAACCA